rnacentral:rRNA from 1 species
ACCUGCCUUCAGGAUGGGGACAACAGACGGAAACGACUGCUAAUACCGAAUAAGUUCCAAGAGCCGCAUGGCCCAUGGAAGAAAAGGUGGCCUCUACCUGUAAGCUAUCGCCUGAAGAGGGGUUUGCGUCUGAUUAGCUGGUUGGAGGGGUAACGGCCCACCAAGGCGACGAUCAGUAGCCGGUCUGAGAGGAUGAACGGCCACACUGGAACUGAGACACGGUCCAGACUCCUACGGGAGGCAGCAGUGGGGAAUCUUCCGCAAUGGGCGAAAGCCUGACGGAGCAACGCCGCGUGAGUGAUGACGGCCUUCGGGUUGUAAAACUCUGUGAUCCGGGACGAAAAGGCAGAGUGCGAAGAACAAACUGCAUUGACGGUACCGGAAAAGCAAGCCACGGCUAACUACGUGCCAGCAGCCGCGGUAAUACGUAGGUGGCAAGCGUUGUCCGGAAUUAUUGGGCGUAAAGCGCGCGCAGGCGGCUUCCCAAGUCCCUCUUAAAAGUGCGGGGCUUAACCCCGUGAUGGGAAGGAAACUGGGAAGCUGGAGUAUCGGAGAGGAAAGUGGAAUUCCUAGUGUAGCGGUGAAAUGCGUAGAGAUUAGGAAGAACACCGGUGGCGAAGGCGACUUUCUGGACGAAAACUGACGCUGAGGCGCGAAAGCGUGGGGAGCAAACAGGAUUAGAUACCCUGGUAGUCCACGCCGUAAACGAUGGAUACUAGGUGUAGGAGGUAUCGACCCCUCCUGUGCCGGAGUUAACGCAAUAAGUAUCCCGCCUGGGAA